GUGGAUGGCUGGAUGAUCGCGGGGGCCGCAAGGCCUACGAGGAAAGUCCGGACUCCGGAAAGCACGGUGCCGGGUAACGCCCGGCCGGGGAAACCCGAGGGAAAGCGCCACAGAGAACGAGACCGCCCGUCGGACCGGAAGUUCGCCAACGGACAAAUCCGCCGGGCAAGGGUGAAACGGUGGAGUAAGAGCCCACCGCGGGACGGGCAACCGGACCGGCACGGCAAGCCCCACCGGGAGCAAUGCCAAAUAGGGGCCCCGCGUCCGCAAGGGCAGGGAUGCUUCAACCCAGGGGCCCGGGUUGGCAGCUUGAGGCCCGUCAGUAACGGCGGGUCCAGAGGAAUGGUCAUCCAGGGGGCUUCGGUCCCCGGACAGAAUCCGGCUUACAGGCCGUCCACGCAC
rnacentral:RNase_P_RNA from 1 species